rnacentral:lncRNA from 1 species
GGGUGGUGGCAGCGGCAGUGGCAGUGGCAAUGGCGGCGAUCAUAGCGUUGAUGAAGCGAAGCAAGAAGAGGAGGAGAUCGCCAACACGGUAGACUUGACUCUCAAGCUCUAGGUAACUCCGUAGGGUCUGAUCAUUACUCUGGUAUAGCCUUAUAAGCUUUGGUCUUGUUGUUGACAAUAGUAGUCAAUGCUAUCUCUCGUUUAAUUAGUUGUUGAUAGAAGAAGUUCAUUCAGUUCUUGGUCAAUUGGCUCUUAUGGAAGGAACGCAACAACAGAAGUUUUGAAGUUAAGUUCUCGUCGGUUGACCGCUUGUUAGACCUCAUCAAAUCCACAGCGCAUGAUUGGUUUAAGGCCGGGGCCUUAUAUGUCUUAAAAAUCUGUUUGUUUAGGCCUCUAUCAUCUUGCUCUCAUGUUUUGUUUGUAUGGUCGUUUGUAUGGUCGUUUGAUUUUGGUUGUAUCUCUAAGACAUUUGCACUCUUUUAUAAUACAAUUCUCUCUUGCAUGGUUCAGAAAUGGAAGUUCGUUAACGGUUCUUUCUUUUACUCCGUAUUUGUUAGUGCAUGGUCAACUAGCUCGGCAGGGUUCUAGCAAGUAAUGAUUUACACAUGUCUCAAAAAAAGUAAAGGUUUACACUUCCUUGGGCACACAGCCUAAACACAUCAACCAAUAAGAUCGCUCCAUACCUCUUUAUAAUAAAAAGUAGAAUGGUUUUUCUUAAAACGUGAUACGCGGCAUGUACGCACCACAUAACCUUCAAGAAAAGUGCCGACAAGAUUCUAACCCAACACCUAUACGCUUAGGACAAGCUAAAUAACCAACUGGACAAGUUUCUUGUUGUGUCUUGUUAUCUUCUUUUUUUCUUUUUUAUUAAAUACUACCUUCAUUCAGGAUUAUUGGUCUCAUGAGCAAACUAACCGCGCUUGAUUUUUGGGGCCGCUGGAUGUAUGCAUUUGAUUUUCUUUCUUGGAUUCCCUUCCACUGCAUGGACGCACGAUCGGUUAGAUGCCUGCGUUAGCUACAAUAAGUUAAGCACCUUUGCAUUGAGAAUUUUAGUUGCUUAGCUCUUUAAUUUACUUAGCACAUCCCCUUAGCACUAGCGCAUUGGAGGAGGUCUUAGUUGCAUACAAAACUAAGCAGGCAACGAGCCCCAGACAAAAACGGAUGCCAGCUGUGGACGUGCGCGUGUUUGGCCGCAUGUAAAGGCAAAGCCUGGCCACCGGCUGCAUGCCAUAACUGCAGGUACUUCGGUUGGCCUUUUCAUGCUCGAAUCACACGCCGUUAGCAUUAAAUCAUACUCCCUCCGUUCGGUAAAAAGUGUACAUCUAGAUAUUUUAGGACAAAUUAUAAAGUGGAGUAAAAAAUGCAUUGGAAAGAUGCAAGCCACCACUCUCUCAUCUUUAAUUACCUAAACCAAUGAGCUAAGUACAUGUAGAAAUUAAGAAGACUAUGUAUAGAAUGCUAUUGGUCUUGAUUACUGGGAUAAACAGGCUAGCUUUGUUAACGGUUCAAUCUUCACAGCACUGAAACAUUGUUAAGUAAAGUCUCCAUAUAUCUAACCUAUUUUACAGAAGUUCAUAAGUAUAUAUUGUGUGCUAGACUAGAAGGGUGUAAGAGAUAACUCAAAUAUGGCUUCUAUUCCAUCUAAUUUUUUAGGUAGAGGUUACUGAGGAGAGAUUGAAGAGGUGGUACAUGGGUGGGAACAAAGGGAAGCCAGAUUCAAGGGGAAGUCCAUGAGAUUAAAAAUCUGGCACAAGUAAUGAAUCACCAUCAAGGUAGAACUUGUAUGCCCUGUUUGAUCGGAGUUUGUGGUGUUUUAGAGGAUAACUACUCUUCUUACAAUAUGUCAAGAAUGAAAGGGAUGGAACAUUAGUUGGCAUCGUAGACGUGUCAGAGGUUGUUUCUCAGGAUCGAGCAAACGAUAGCAGUGAUGUGUGCUCCACUUGAGAAGAAAACAAAUAUGUUGCUCAAGGAAAACAUUGAUCUGCCACUGCCUCAGCAUGUAAAAUAUGCCUUGCGUCACUGUAAGCUGGUGGCACAAGUGUUGUUGUGUAUUGAUGGAUUUUGGUUGUGAUUAGCAAACAUGUUAUUUGUAUAUCGACUGUGUGCGCUUCUUGUCGUCAUUUAUCUCGGUGUGAUCAUCAAACGAUUGGUUUGGUGUAGAUUCUAUCUAUCGGUUUGUUACAGUUUACAGGUUGAUAUGAAACUUGUCACGGUUUAUACAGUGGAGUGGAAUAUGAUAAUAUUACCGUGACCAUAUCUAUUGUAUACUAAAAGCACAAUGUAUUUUUUUCCAAGCCACGACAUUUCAGGAACUUAGACAAUAUGGAAAAUAUGAAAACAUACACAAAAUACAAGUCAGGAAACAAAAACACAAUAUGAACUGCCAACAAAAACAAAACAAAAAUAUGAGACAUACAAGCCUGAAAACCGCUACACCUAUGGACAGUUGUGUGGUAGACACCAGAACUUAAACGGGUCAUGCAGGAAUGUGUGUAAAAUUUCAGGAUGAAAUAACUUAAAAUCGAAACGGCAGACGAUUCCACAUGAGCGUAAGAGAAGAACAUCUUGCAAGGUCCAGUGAGAAUACAAAAUUCAAACUCCUUGAAAGUAUAUUUUGCUUAGAUCAAACAUUUGGUCCAUACCGUCACAUUCCAAACUGUAAUUAUUCUUACUAAAAAUAGCUAAAAUAAAUCAUCAUCAAAAUAGCUAGAGAUCUCAGAGUGGGGCAUUUUGGAGCUCGGCCUCCAUGGAGCCGGAGUUUCUGGAAAAUUCAAAACUCAAACUUUUCAGUUUAAAAAACUGAUUUUUUUAUACAAGUAAACAAGGAUGAAAUACCUUAAAAUGUGAUCUGUUCAAAAAAGACAAAUUCAUGAACUUUGUACUCUACUAAAAAGCCUCAGAUUUGUUCCUUUUGUGUAGCACUUAUUUUAAGGUAUUUCAUCCUGAAAGUUUACACACUUAUGCUUUAUGUCUCUAAGUAUAUUUGUAUUUUUUCAAAAAAAAACGUGAAAAUUUGAAUUUUGAUCAAUUCAAUUUCGGCCUCCAUGGAGGCCGAGCUCCGUUGAGCAUUUUUGGAGAUCUCACAAUUAACAACCUAUUAUAUACUGAAAGCACAAUACUUGCUUUUUUCGUCGAGGCACACGUGAAUCCACAUCAUUUAUUUCAAUGGUUGCCCGGUUGGAUCAACAAUUCAAUGAACAUGUUAUAUUCGGAUUUGGAAACAGUUCAAUCCCACAAUCCUCUUGACCAGAGAUAAGCAUAAAGUACGUUUCUAUUUGUAUUAAAUUUGCUCUCCCCGCUAAAAAAAAUUUGCUCGUCCUAAUAUUAAGGCGUGUCCUAGCUUUUCACAUGGAGCGUGUACUGGUCAUCUACUAAGCUAGCCACCAGAAUAAUAAAUUCGGUUUUGCCAAUUCUCACUCCGAUGAGAAACAACUAGAUCUCACUCAAUAACACGGUAUGAUUUUACACGAAGAUUGAUGCAGAUUUUUCUUUUUUUUUCUUUCUUUUUUUGUUUGAUUGUUUUACAAUUUUUUGUUGUUCUGGCUAGCGAGCGUGCAACUAUAGUUGUGUGGUCGACUGGCAGAACUUGAAACAUCAUUUCUAUGUGGCCUUUGAAUAACGUGAUGAGCUCAUUGACAAGAAUGAGCAAGCAAAUUCCUUUAACAGGAGGUGAAGUGCUACAAACCAUUUUAAUUUUAAAAAACUACUGAUGAUAGAAGAUAUGCAUAAGCAACAUUUGGAAAUCAAAUAUAAAAAACAUAAGUCAGCAUGGCACAUCUUGUUACUUGUCAUUCCCAAAGAAUGGUAUUCUUGCCAGUUGAUUUAUGAUAGAAGUACAACUAAUGUAUUUUAUUGUGCUAUAUUAAUUUGAGUUUACAAUUCUAUAAUUUUUGGUAUGUUAAUUUGCUAUUUUAGACUGUUCAUUUGCGUAUUUUCCAAAAAUAAAAAGUGCAACAAAGGUGUACGGAAACAGGGGAAAGGAAAUAAAAGUGAAAAUAGAUAAAUAUAAACAUCAAAAUGUCAUAAUUCUACAUAAACACACUAAUAUAGCACAAGAUAAUACAUUCUGUGUACUAUGAACCUCCCUGAGACCAUAUGUUUAUCCAUCGGUCAAUUUGAACGUACUCAAGAUGAUGCCCUUGCAUUUGUGAAGGCCAUUGGGCUAGUUACUAGAACAAAAGAAAAAGACCAAACGGGUAGAGCACACCAAGUAUAGUGAUCCAUGAUAUGCAGCAAAGCAUGUACAACUAGUUAAGAGCAUCUAUAGCCGAGCGCCUUAAACUGGCCUCAAACGACCGUGCGGUCGUCCCGGUCAUUAACCGGUCAAAAAAACCCGACCACCCAGGCAGUGGCGGAGCUUCAUGGGGGCCAACCUAGGCGGUGGCCCCCCAGCUCACAGGAAAAUACAUGUAUAUAUCUUAGUUUUAGGCCUAUUUUUGCACCAAAAAUCAACCUAUAGNNNNNNNNNNNNNNNNNNNNNNNNNNNNNNNNNNNNNNNNNNNNNNNNNNNNNNNNNNNNNNNNNNNNNNNNNNNNNNNNNNNNNNNNNNNNNNNNNNNNNNNNNNNNNNNNNNNNNNNNNNNNNNNNNNNNNNNNNNNNNNNNNNNNNNNNNNNNNNNNNNNNNNNNNNNNNNNNNNNNNNNNNNNNNNNNNNNNNNNNNNNNNNNNNNNNNNNNNNNNNNNNNNNNNNNNNNNNNNNNNNNNNNNNNNNNNNNNNNNNNNNNNNNNNNNNNNNNNNNNNNNNNNNNNNNNNNNNNNNNNNNNNNNNNNNNNNNNNNNNNNNNNNNNNNNNNNNNNNNNNNNNNNNNNNNNNNNNNNNNNNNNNNNNNNNNNNNNNNNNNNNNNNNNNNNNNNNNNNNNNNNNNNNNNNNNNNNNNNNNNNNNNNNNNNNNNNNNNNNNNNNNNNNNGGCCCCCCCAUGAUUCUUGCCCAAGCUCCGCCACUGCACCCAGGCGCCUCAAAACGGCUUCAAAUGCUUGGGCUAACCAUCACCCCUCAUAUACAACCCAAAUUUGGACAGAUAUGGGGCAGCCCGGGCGUCACCACGUUGGACGGACGACCAGGUCCCACCCAUAAUCGCCCAUAAAUCCAACGGUCCGACGGGCGUUUCCUCCGGUCGGGGUGUUAGUGCCACGUGGCGCUGCUUCGGCUCACCGCCCGGGGGCCAAGGUCCCGCUAUUUAAGUCGUACAACGUCCCCCAGCCCUAGCCACAUCCGCUUCCUCCCUCCCCAUGCUGCCAGUCCGAGCCCAUCUACUUCUCCCCCUCUUCCCUCGUUGUGCGCCUCCGCCAUGGCGUGGCAUAAGAAGACCACCUAUGCUAUGCUGACACCGAAGUGGCGCUUCCAGAUGCCCGAAGAGAUCUGUGUUAGGCACGCCGCCCGGAUCACAGCGGGCCCGCCUCCGGAUUCGCUGGAGCAGCAACCAGAGCCCAUGGAGUAGGAGGAGGGGGAGGAGGAGUAGGAGCCAAAGCCAGCUGCAGGCUUUGCCAUAUAUGGAGGACACCAUGGCAGAGUUCGAGGUCACCCAAGUGGCGGAGAUGGUGUAGCAGACCGCUAUCCUGGAGUCCAUCUAGGAUGAGGACUAUGUCCAGGCCAACCGAUGGUCCAUCCGACAAGAGUGGGCUAGUUACUAGAACAAAAGAAAAAUAGAGACCAAACGGGUUGAGCACACCAAGUAUAGUGAUCCAUGAUAGGCACUAGGCAGCAAAGCAUGUACAACUAGUUAAGAGCAUCUACAGCCAAGCGCCUCAAACCGGUCUCAAACGCCCGUGCGGUCGUCCCGGUCACUGACCGGUCAAAAAAAAAACGACCACCCAGGCACCUCAAACCGUCUUCAAACACUCGGGCUAACUAUCAUCCCUCAUAUGCAGGCCCAAUUUGGACAGAUAUGGGGUAGUCCGGGCGCGUUCACCACGUUGGACGGACGACCGGGUCCCACCAGUAAUCGCCCAUAAACGCAACAGUCCAACAGGUGUUUCCUCCGGUGGGGGUGUUAGUGCCACGUGACGCCGCUUCGGCUUGCCGCCCGAGGGACAAGAUCCCGCUAUUUAAGCCGUACAAUGUCCCCCAGCCCUAGCCACAUUCACUUCCUCCCUCCCCGUGCUGCCAGCCCGAGCCCAUCCACUUCUCUCCCUCUUCCCUAGUUGUGCGCCUCCGCCAUGGCCUGGCAGAAGAAGACCACCUAUGCUAUGCCGACACCGGAGCAGCACUUCCGGAUUCUCGAGGAGAUCUAUGUUAGAUGCGCCGCCCGGAUCAUAGCGGGCCUGCCUCCGGAUUCGUUGGAGUAGUAACCGGGGCCCAUGGAGUAGGAGGAGGGGGAGGAGGGGGAGGAGCCGAAGCCGGUUGCGGACUUUCCCGUAGAGGACACCAUGGCAGAGUUCGAGGUCACCCAAGCAGCGGAGAUGGCAUAGUAGACCGCUAACCUGGAGUCCAUUGAGGAUGAGGCAUAUGUCCAGGCCAACCGGUGGUUCAUCCGGUAAGAACGGGCGGUGACCGACGCACUUUUCACCGAACUGGACACGAAGGAGUAGGCAGAGACCGACGCGCAGGAGCCGCAGGAGCCGGAGUUACGUCUGCCGCCCAUCUACCCGGACCCGGGCACGAAGACCGUGGAGAGCUCCAACAAGGAGUAGGGUAGUGUAGGUUUUAGUUAAUCUACGUAAUGUAUAGGUUUUUCUCGUUUGCAUGCUUUGUAUGGAUUUAAUGUUUUAAGUAUGAGCUAUUCGGAUGCACAUAACAAAAUUUGAGGGUUUCCUGGUCAAUGCCCGCAGACACGCCCGGGCGUGUCCGCCAGCAUUUGAGGGCCCGAAUUUGGUGUCUGCGGCUGUAGAUGCUCUAAGUGGCAUGCCGAUUAGACAAAACCUAUGUUUAUUUGUGGAGAAAAAUUAAAUUGAUGCAUUCAAACAUAUGGGACCCAAAAAAUUUCUCUCAGGAUAUCUUGGUGCCAAUUAUAGCAUACCAAAUCCUUCUCCAUAUCCAUGUCAAUUAAGUACCCAAUAAAUUUGUACCGAUCCUCUUAAAACUGAAAAAGGGGAAAUAAUAAGUUCGAGUCCGCCAUUAUAAUAGAGGUAUGCCUAAUGUAUUUUCUUGCAAUAUAUUAAUUUGAAUUUUCAGUUCUAUAGUUUUUGGUAUGUUAAUUUGUUGUUUUAGACCCUUCAUUUGCAUAUUUUCCUAACUAAAAAGUGCAAUAAAAAUAUAUUGGAAAACAGAAGAAAGAGGAAAAACAAACUGAAAAUAAAAGCGCAAAGGACAAAUAAACAACAAAAUGUGAUAAUUCUACCUAAACAGAUUAAUAUAGCACAAGAAAAUGCAUUCCGCGUAAUGUGAACCUCCCUGAGACCAUACAUUUUGCCACAUUUUCCUCUCAUUUGUUGUUUUAGACCCUUCAUUUGCGUAUUUUCCGAAAAUAAAAGUUCAACAAGAAGGUGUAGGAAAACAGGAAAAGGGGGAAAACAAAAGUGGGAAUAGAUAAAUAAACAACCAAAUGACAUAAAUUCUACCUAAACACACUAAUAUAGCACAAGAAAAUACAUUCCAUGUGAUAUGAACCUCCCUGAGACCAUAUGUUUAUUCAUCAAUCAGUCUGAGCACACUGAAGAUGAUGCUCUCGCAUUUGCUAAGGCCACUGGGCUAGUUACUGGAAUAGUAAAAAUAGAGACCAAAAGGGUAGAACACACCAAGUAUAGUGAUCCAUUGAAGGACAAGUGCAUGGAUGAAACCGGGUACAUAUGAACCCAUUUUGGAAAACACAUUUUGCAAUGUCAAAAAAUUCUGAAAAAAGGUGUGCGCGGACAUCUUCAUAUUCUAUGUGUGUGCAGAAAGUUUCACAAAAAAACAACUUUUUUGUAGCCUGUGCAAAAAAGACAAAAUUUUGUGCCGUGAAACGCUAUUUAGAAGCAGUAAAAUUUGUCUUCUUUACUGAGACAAAACCAAAAUACUUUUUUACACAAGACUUUGUGCCGUGGACAUACCUUUGCCAACAUGUAUGCAUAUUUUUUUAGAAUUUUUGAACAUUACAAAACGCAUAAAAAGUACAUUUUUAAAAAGCGGGUGCAGAUGCCCCCGUGUGCACAUCAUCCACUCUCUCCAUGAUAGUAUGCAGCAAAGCAUGUAACAACUAGUUAAGCAGGAUGCUGAUUAGUCAAAACCUAAGUGUAUAUGUGAAGAAAAAUUAAAUUGAUGCAUUCAAACAUAUAGGACCCGAAAAUUUUCUCUCGGGAUACCUUGGUGCCAAUUAUAGCAUAUACCAUAUACCAAAUCCUUCUCCAUAUCCAUGUCAAUUAAGUAGCCAGUAAAUUCCUACCAAUCCUCGUAAAACUGAAAAGGGGAAAUAAUAAGUUCCAGUCCGCCGUUAGGCAUCUGAUCAGAACCUACAUGACGACAUAAGUUGAAAACUCAAAACGUUAAAUCUACUCCAAUUAUGCAAAGCAUUGAGUGUGCAUGGACGGGUCCAGGGAAGAGUGAGAGAGAGGAUUGAGACGUGCCAAGAUUACUACGAAUUAAGUCCGUGAUCUCGACCACAUUAAACCCAGCGAGCCUGCUGUGAUCUCAUGCGAUCUUCUAAUUUGGCAAGUGAACUUGCAUUCCUCUCAGAUCAUCUCCGGCCUUGUAUAAGUAGGCACGCACAGAUCCCAUCCAAGAACUACUCAACUCGUGUGCCAAGAUACACAAAAACCAAACCGCGUCCAUGGACGCGGUGCAAGUCGGCAAUGAGGAGGUGCAGCCGGCACCGGCCCUGGAGCUAAACCUCCUCGGCGGUCUUGGCGCUGAGGCUGAGGAGACCGCCGUCGGCGCUGAGGAGACCGCCGUGCCGGAGGCGGAGAAGGGAAAGGCCAAAUCGAGUGAGGAGGCGGGGCCGUCGUCGAGCGAGAAGCGCCGCGUGUUCAAGUGCAACUACUGCCCGCGCAAGUUCUACACGUCGCAGGCGCUGGGCGGCCACCAGAACGCGCACAAGCGCGAGCGCUCCGUCGCCAAGGGCGUCGCUGCGGGGCGGGGCGCCGGCCAUGGCGGCGCACUCGUGCCGCACCACCUUCGCUUCCCCAACGUCUGGUCCUACUCCGCCACCGGCAGGUCGUUCCUCGGCGGCGCGGCGCCGUUCUACGGGAUGCACAUGCACCACAACCUCCCCGGGUGGGGCGCGGCGGCCCAGCCGUCCCUCGCCGGUCUCACCCGUCACGCCGGCACUGACCGCCCGACGUACCCGCGGGCGGAGGCCUACGGCUUUGGCGCAUCGCCCAGGGCCCCCAUCCCUGUGGCCUCCCCUCGCGCGCCGUCGAUGGCCGUGAUCCAGUGGGGUGGUGGCAGCGGCAGUGGUAGUGGCAAUGGCGGCGAUCAUAGCGUUGGUGAAGCGAAGCAAGAAGAGGAGGAGAUCGCCAACACGGUAGACUUGACUCUCAAGCUCUAGCUAGCUCCGUAGGGUCUGAUCAUUGCUCUGUUAGAACCUUAUAAGCUUCGGUCUUGUUGUUGACAACUGUGGUCAAUGCUAUCAGUCAUUUAAUUAGUUGUUGAUAGGAGAAGUUCAUUCAGUUCAUGGUCGCUUGGCUCUUAUGGAAGGAGCGCAACAACAGAAGUUUUGAAGUUAAGUUCUCGUCGGUUGACCGCUUAUUAGAC